GGGCCAGUGGCGCAAUGGAUAACGUGUCUGACAGAAGAUUUUAGGUUCAACGCCUGGCUGGCUCG